AUAUAUAUAUAAUGGGAAAGAAAGAAAGAAAGAGAGAGAGAGAGAGAGAGAGAAAGUGAGAGAAUUACCGAUCAUCAUGGGCCCCGUCAUCGAGACGCAACGCCACCUCGUUCUUUACUUAACGGUUAACUAUCAUUAAGGUGCUUCAAUAUUGUUACGUUACGUUUUUUUUUAUUACCGUCAUUUAAUAUUAAUGUUAUUAUUAUUAUUGUCAUUAUCAUUUCAUUAUUAUUAGCUUCGCUAGAUCGUGUUUAGAAAAGAAUGAUGUACAUCUGUCUCCUGGCAGGGAAUCGAGGAAAAAAAAAAGAUACAAGGAAAACGAGAUCGCGUUAUUUCGUGGGCAUUAAAAGAAAAGGGGGGAGGGGAAAAAAAAAAAGAAAGAAA